UCCAUUCUUCUCAUAGCCGUAUGUAUUCAUCUUUUUUCAUUAUAUACGACUUCCAUUUCUUUCUCUCAGACACACAAAUUCUGAAAGCAGCCUUGGUUACAAUGGUGAUAAAGAUCACCACAUUCACCAUCUUAACGGUUCUAUUAUUCGCCGUCUCCACCAUCGCGUUAGAUCCAGUCAUCCUGCCCGGUUCAGAUGUCCUUAUCACCACUGCUGACAAUCGGUUGCCAGAAUCUGAAAACACUCAAACAUUUGACGUUAGCACGAUCGAUCCAUCGCGGAGUCAGAUAAGCUCCAGAUCACAUCCGAUCAAGCUUCACUCUUUAGAUAAAACUACCCGGCGUCCAUGCCGCAAGUUUAAGAAGAUGUUCAUGAGCCCUGCCAAGAUAUUCUAUGGAAACGACAUGAUCUUAUCGGACAAAACCACGAGUGUCGAUGUGAAAGCAAUAAGUGAUCGGGUUCCAACGAAGUGGAUGGAGUUUAAGCACAAGUACGGUCAUCGCCAUCACCAAGACAAAGAUGAGAAACUCGAGACAAAGAAUGAGUUCGACGGGGAGAGGCAGAACGGUAUGACAGCCCCCCAUAAGGAGAAAAAGAGCGAACAUAAAGGCGGUUUCAUGAGGCGCGUUCGCAAGUUUUUGAAGCACACUUUUAAUUAAUAAGGUACGUUUGGUUCGAGUAUUUCAUGAAUCCAUAGAAAGUAAUAUGCUAUUUAUGUUUAGCCUGUGAUGUUUCAUCUGUAUCAUAUUAAGGCGAAUAAAACUUAAAACAUUUGGUCAA